rnacentral:rRNA from 1 species
UACAGAGGGGGCAAGCGUUGUUCGGAAUUACUGGGCGUAAAGGGCGCGUAGGCGGCCUGUUAAGUCGAACGUGAAAUCCCUCGGCUUAACCGGGGAACUGCGUCCGAUACUGGUUGGCUUGAGUUUGGGAGAGGGAUGCGGAAUUCCAGGUGUAGCGGUGAAAUGCGUAGAUAUCUGGAGGAACACCGAUGGCGAAGGCAGGUCUCUGGGCCAUAACUGACGCUGAGAAGCGAAAGCAUGGGGAGCGAACAGG